GUCCUAGCUGUAAACGGUGUGCACUUGGUGUAGGGGGAGUUGUCCCCCUGUGCCGGAGCUAACGCGUUAAGUGCACCGCCUGGGGAGUACGGUCGCAAGAUUAAAACUCAAAGGAAUUGACGGGGCCCGCACAAGCGGUGGAGCAUGUGGCUUAAUUCGAUGCAACGCGAAGAACCUUACCUGGGCUUGACAUGUAACUGCAUACCAGCCGAAAGGCAGGUAGCCUUCGAGGGUGUUACACAGGUGCUGCAUGGCUGUCGU
rnacentral:rRNA from 1 species